GAUGAACGCUGGCGGCGUGCCUAAUACAUGCCAGUCGAGCGAACGGACGAGAAGCUUGCUUCUCUGAUGUUAGCGGCGGACGGGUGAGUAACACGUGGAUAACCUACCUAUAAGACUGGGAUAACUUCGGGAAACCGGAGCUAAUACCGGAUGAUAUUUUGAACCGCAUGGUUCAAAAGUGAAAGACGGUCUUGCUGUCACUUAUAGACGGAUCCGCGCUGCAUUAGCUAGUUGGUAAGGUAACGGCUUACCAAGGCAACGAUGCAUAGCCGACCUGAGAGGGUGAUCGGCCACACGGGAACUGAGACACGGUCCAGACUCCUACGGGAGGCAGCAGUAGGGAAUCUUCCGCAAUGGGCGAAAGCCUGACGGAGCAACGCCGCGUGAGUGAUGAAGGUCUUCGGAUCGUAAAACUCUGUUAUUAGGGAAGAACAUAUGUGUAAGUAACUGUGCACAUCUUGACGGUACCUAAUCAGAAAGCCACGGCUAACUACGUG
rnacentral:rRNA from 1 species